rnacentral:lncRNA from 1 species
CGCUUUCACACUAGCGCUCGAGAGGCAGCAGCAGCAGCAUCACCAACGGCAGCAGAGACGCAUCAGCAGCAGCAGCGGCGGGAUUCAGAAACAGGUUUUGUGGACGUGUGGCUGUGGAGCAAGGAGACGCAGCACAAACUGGAUUUAUUUUGGAGCCUCACAGAAGCACAGCCAAAGCCUGAGUAAGAAGAACCGGUGAAACACACUAUGCUGAAAGGCGGCACCGCCAAGGCGGCGCUGCCCAAGGCAGCAGCCCCUGAACGGACACGGCUGAUUUCCUCCCUUCCACACACCUCCACCUCUACAUCCAGCAGCACCUCCACAGGCAUGAAGACUUCCCGCUCCUCCAGCACCAUCGCCUCUGACCUGCGCCUCAGCCGGCUGAAGCGGGCAAGCAGUGAUGAUGCUCUGGCUAAGCCUGUGCUGGGUCCAGCAGCUGCAGCAUCACGUAUGAAGAAGACCAUUACAACCGGAGCCAUCUCUGAGCUGGCAGACAACAGACCACGCAGUCUGACAGUGUGUUUGUAUGUUAUGACUUUCAGAGUUCAGAUUCAGGCCACAGCAGUGCAAUGAACAGGAGGACGCCAAGUCUUAUUUUUGUCUGUGCUGGAAUAACAUUCCUAUUAGUGAGCUUUUCAUCACUGAGACAAACACACACAUGCUCACACACACUCACACACACUCACACACAAAAGUAAUACAAAGACCCAUGUGAAUAUAAUCAGAAGUCUUGAUCUCUAAUGUGAUUUUUAUUUGUGACAGGCUUAUAUAGUAUUUUUAGGCUUUUAUAAUGUAAUACUGUUCUAGUGCUGUUGUCACCAGAACAGCUUCACAAUAAUUCACUAGUGUAAUAUGGUGAAUCUAGACAACAUGUGUCCCUCUUUUUUGCCAUGUUAUUAUUGUUAGCAUUGUUUUGGAUACGCAUUGUUAAUGUUAAUAUCUUUGCAUUCAAUGAUGCACAUCCAAAGCCCAUGAAAACAUGUUCACAGACAGUACUUCAAAUACAAUAUUGUGUGUACACCUGACACACAUGUAUGCAAUAAUAAUAAUAAACUGUUUAAUACUACUGCUUUUACCA